CUAGCGAGAAUCAUAAUGGCUCGUUAAAUCUCCAUUAUCCACCUUGUGUGCAUUGUCGAGGAAAAAAAAAAAAAAGGAGAGGGAUUAAAAAUUUUUUUUUUAAUUCCCCGUCUUUUUUUCUUUUUUUUCAAACAUUUACUCAUCUUUUGCAGUAUCAGUCUACUUGAGUAUUAAGAAAAAAUAACUCUAAUA
rnacentral:misc_RNA from 1 species